rfam:Triticum aestivum genome assembly, contig: Triticum_aestivum_CS42_TGACv1_scaffold_061304_1DL
UAUGUACUCCCUCCGUCUGAAAAUUCUUGUCGGAGAAAUGGAUGUAUCUAGAUGUAUUUUAGUUCUGGAUACAUCCAUUUUUAUGCAUUUCUCCGACAAGUAUUUUUGGACGGAGGGAUGUAUUUU